UAUACACAAGAGUUUAUUGUACUUUAUAAUGAGAUUUGGGGCUGAUGUGUUAUUAAUAGAAAAGUUGGGGGAUAAGUGUAAUAAUAAUUUCAUAAACUUGGCAAUCAAGUUUAUGAAUUGGAUAUGAUUGAACCGAUGCUGUGCAAUUAAUUGGAAUUGCAGAGAGAGCCUCGUAGAUAAAUUGCUGAGUCGGCUUAUUCGUCAUCUUUAUCCGAUGAAUUUCUCUUCUCUUCGUUUCUUUUUAUACUCACUAACUCCUCACUCUCUCAUCAUCUCUCUCGCCUGCUGUCUCCUCUCUCUCUCUAUCGAUUCUUGAAUGGAAUCAUAGAAAUUGUUGGAAAAAUCAAGUUCUAUGAGAGGAUUUUGAGUAAUUAAGUUUAGGUUGAAGGAUUGGGAGAUUAGAGAAGAAAGCCCCUAAUUGAUUCUUCAGAGAAAGGGGCUGCAAGAAGGUUUUAUCAAUGGAGUCUUGACGAUCCGAAAGUAUUGUUGGGAAACUUGAGAAGCAAGCUUCCCGAUGGUGAAGUAUUUCGCCGGCGGAGGUCACCGGUGGUCGGAAGACGGCAAGAAGUGCAGCCUGCCCCUGAACUUUAGGAGUCGAUUUGAGUUAUGUCGGCAAAAUUCAGAGAAAUGAAGAACUGCUGCCGCACCUGUUUUCGGAGCAGAAUUUGGAGGGUUUGGAGUGCAAAUUUGGGAAUCAUUCCUUGACGAAACUCGUAGAGGACCUCGAAAACUAUUGGUAUCGAGCGUACUGACUUGAGCAUGACUCGAGAGUAAGGUGUUUUUAUAGCACUUGCAUUGGACUUCAGUAACAGGUGCAUUAGUGGACGAUAUUGUUGAUGGCUCUUAGGAGUAGAAGUUAUUCAGAGAUUUUAGAGAGUUUAAUCUAGUGUUGUGUUUAAGAAUGAUUGUAAUUCGAGAACUAUGAAUACGAGAUUAGUUGUGGCAUUUGGUUGUCACGUGUAUUUGAUAUUAUUGUUCAGAAAUUAAGUAGGAAACAUUGUAUUUAUCGGAAGUCAUUGUAUUUAUUUAUUGUAAUGGAAAAAAAAAAAAA